UAUAAAUACCUGCAUUCCAUCUAAACUUUGCCAGCCGGCCAAAAUAAACCAAUCGAACAAUCCGUGCGGCUCCAUCGAAACAGCAUUGCUCUCCUUUCGGUUCCCUCCUCUUUUCUUAUUCCCACGCUCUUAGCUGUCCGCUGUUCCUUCCGUCUCCUUCUCCUCCUCCAGCCCUCCCUUCUUGGAGAAGGAGACGUGGGAACGAUAAUUCAUCUCGCCGUCUCGCAUCAUUUAUUCCCCGCAUUAAUUGAUGGAUCGCCGGAGGGUUCAUCACCGGACACAGCAUCUCUUUUUUCUACUACUUUGUUUCAUCUCAUUCUUUGGUUUGGGGAGCGGCAAUGGUGUGUUUAGGGUUCAGCGCAAAUACUCCGAGCAGUCGCAUAUCGCCGACCUCCGCGCUCAUGACGUUCGCCGCCAUGGUAGAAUCCUUUCUAGCGUCGCGGCCGGCGCAGUCGACAUUCCCCUUGGAGGCAUUGGCGUUCCCACGGAGACCGGGCUUUACUAUGCUGAAAUUGAUAUUGGAACACCUUCAAAGCCUUACCACGUGCAGGUGGACACGGGAAGUGACAUCCUUUGGUUGAAUUGCAUCACUUGUAAGCAUUGCCCUAAGAAGAGUGAUAUUGGGAUAACACUUUCUCUUUAUGAUCUCAAGAGUUCUUCGAGUGGAAGCCUAAUGUCUUGUGAUGAGAGCUUCUGCUCAUCAACAUAUGGUGGUGAGAUCCCUGGUUGUAUUCAUGAUGCACCAUGCCAAUACACCGUAUUAUACGGUGAUGGUAGCUCGACUGCUGGAUAUUUUGUGACAGAUCUUAUGCACUAUAAUCUUGUUUCUGGUAGUCAUCAAACAAAAAUAGCCAGUGCAAGCGUUACAUUUGGAUGUGGUAACCAGCAGUCUGGCGACCUUGGAUCAUCAGCGGAAGCAGUUGAUGGAAUACUUGGAUUUGGACAGUCAAACUCAUCCAUGAUAUCGCAACUUGCUUCUGCUGGAAAAGUAAGAAAGAUAUUUUCACAUUGUUUAGACACUAAAAAUGGAGGUGGUAUAUUCGCCAUAGGACAUGUGGUAGAGCCUAAAGUCAAGACAACACCAUUGGUACCUGACAUGCCACAUUACAACAUCAUACUUAAGUCAAUUCAAGUUGGUGGGGAAUUCCUGAAACUUCCAACCGAUAUUUUUGAAACAGGGGACAACAAAGGUACAAUACUUGACAGUGGAACAACAUUGGCUUACCUACCAGAGCAAGCUUUUAAGGCAUUGAUGAAUGCGAUAUUUUCUUAUCAGCCUGGUUUGACCUUCCAAACCACCCAGGGUUUUCUUUGCUUUGAAUUUUCAGGAAGUGUUGAUGAUGGCUUCCCGAAGAUCAUCUUCCAUUUUGAGGAUUCAGUGGAAUUGCCAAUAUAUCCUCAUGAUUAUUUAUUUUCAACUGGGAGGAAUUAUUGGUGUGCUGGUUUCCAAAACAGUGCAUUACAGUCAAAAGAUGGGAAAGAUAUGAUUCUUUUAGGAGAUAUGGUCUUGGCAAACAAGUUAGUUGUUUACGAUCUUGAGAAUCAAGUUGUUGGUUGGACCGAGUAUGACUGCUCAUCCAGCAUCAAGAUUCAAGACGACGUAACAACAGCAUUGUACGCCGUCGAUGCUCACAAUUUAUCCUCCGCCACCCUACUGGAGAUCAGAGGAUUCAUCGCAUUCCUAAUGGCAACUUUCAUGAUAAUUAAUCUAGUACUUUGAACCAGCAGAGAGAAAUGACCAAUAACAGCAUUUGUUUAUUGUUUUCUGAUAUAAAGCAAUUUGUAUGCUCAUUCUUGAGGCCCAGCUCAGAAGAAAUUGUUGCUCAGUUGUGCAGAUUUUCCACAAGGGCCCUGUUCAUUUAUUAUAAUACGCCAAUUAUUCUUUUGAUGGUGGAUUUCUGAAGAAGAGAUGCAGUUUUAUUUCUUCUUCCUUGUGAGGGAGCUCUGAAGGUAGUGUCAGCCGCCAAGCAAUUCAAAUUUAGUGGUAUUGUACCUGACCUAGAGGCAAAGUUGGACCAUAUGUUUAGUGGGGUUGUUGCAAUGAGCACACAUAUGUUCACCCCAAGUGAGCAUUGGCUUGCAACCAUACAAGUGGACUUGGAGACCGAAGGUAAGUGGGUCCGCUGAAGGCCCCAACCUAAACCAAAAGGAGCUAAAGUCUACAUGCCGUUAAAAGCGUCUUAGGGUGGAGAAAAAGAAAAAAAAGGUGUUGCUUUCGUCAAAAGCCAAGUAGUAAAAUUGGUGGAUGUGUGCACAAUUCAGGCUGAUACUUUAAAUGAUACCUCCAUAGACGACUUUCUCUGAGUUCUGGAGACAUCCUGAAGUUUAUCGGGAUAAGUUGUAUUUGAACUCCUUAAAGUUGUCGGAGGACCCGACUCGCAUACAAAUAUUUAUCAAGAUGCCCAAUGACUGUCAGGUCGACUAUUUACG